rnacentral:piRNA from 1 species
GAGGGUCAUUGCGGUAGAGCUAG